rnacentral:rRNA from 1 species
AAUACAACUUUCAGCAACGGAUCUCUUGGCUCUCGCAUCGAUGAAGAACGCAGCGAAAUGCGAUAAGUAAUGUGAAUUGCAGAAUUCAGUGAAUCAUCGAAUCUUUGAACGCACCUUGCACUCCUUGGUAUUCCGAGGAGUAUGCCUGUUUGAGUGUCA